ensembl:lncRNA
UUUAACUUCAGUUAGCCGUAGUUAACAACCUUAAUUACAUCUAAGUAUCUUUGUCAUGUGAGGUAACAUACUCAUGGAGAUGAGUCCAUGAAAUAUGAAGGGUCAUUAUUUUACCUGCCACAUUCCACCCUGAAACUCAGAGUCAAGUCUGAGCCUGGCACUCUAAAAGGGCGAGGGAGGAUUGAAAACUCCAGCCAAGCCCAGGCAACUUAGCAACUUUAGACCCUCUCACAAAAUAAAAAGUGAAAACAGGUGGGAAUGCAGUGCCAUGCGAUGACCUUGGAUUCAGUUGUCAGUGCCACAAACGAAAAAGGUUCUGUCCUACAUGUAAAACACAUUCCUAAAAUUCUCAUUCUCUUACAGCAAGUCAAAGUAAACAAAUAUAUUUAUCUCCUAUCAAAAGCCCUAAAUCUCAUCAUCUAAGUCGGAUACAGAUGAGGCUUCAGGCAGUCCAUCCUGGAGCACACGGCCCCAUCUGGGACCCAAGAACAGGAGGCCUGUGCUCCCGGGACACAGCAGCAGUGUGACCGCAGGAUAGUAGGACGAGCCUGCUCAAAAGGGGCACAGACAGAAAGUGAAAAGGAGUCACAAUACAAAGCAGUUAAAAAAUCCAGCCGGGAAAAUUCUCUUAGGUUAUCAGGCCUAGAAAUAAUCUUCAGGCUUUGUUCUGCCCUCUGAGCUCUCAGUUCCACCCUCUAGAUUAGUCCAACUCCUUAUCAUUUUUUUGUUAUGUCACAGUACUUACUUUUUUUGUUUUUGUUUUUUGAGACGGUCUCACUAUGUAGUUCAGACUGGCCUUAAACUCACCAUGUAGCCUAGGCUGAGGCAGGAGGAUCACCGUGAGUUUGAGGGCAGCCUGAACUGCAUAGUGAGACCCUGUCUCAAAAACAAAAAAACAGAAAGAACAAUGUUUUGGGGGGGUUUUUGGUGCCAGGGAUCGAACUGGGGUCCUUGUGGUUUUGAGGCAGGUGGCAGAACCACUGAGCUAAAUCGUUGGCCCCAAAGAACAACCUUGAUUUCUAGAGCUGAGCAUGGUAGUGCCACACCUGUAAUUCCACCACUCUGGACAGCUGAGACAGGAGAAUCACAUUGAGACCCAACCUGGAAACGUAGUCACUUAGUGAAAACUUGUCUCAAAAAAUAAAAGGACAGGGGCUGGGGAUUCAGCUCAGUGGUUCUGGUGCCUGCCUAGAAAGUGGUAGGUCCUGAGUUCAAUCCCCAGUACCAAAAAAUAAAAUAAAAGGACGGGAUUUAGCUCAGUGCAAAGGACCUGGGUUCAAUCUCCAAUACCAUCCACAUAGCAAGGAAAGAAGGGAGCGGGAGAGGAGGGAGGGGCCAGCCAUCCCUUCACCUUCCUCCUUCACAAAGGUGGAAGUGGUGGGCCAUCGGGGGCCGCUGGGUGAAAACGGCGCCCUGGGGAUCUAACAGCAACAAGUUGAAAAGAACAUGGGUCCUGAUGACUUCAUGGGAAGAUCCACCAUACUAACUUGGACUUUUACAUGAGAGAAAUAAAUUUCUGUUUUGAAGCCGCAGUUAAUUUGGGUGUCUUUCAUACAGCUAAAGAAAUGAGUCCUCUAUACAAACAGAAUUCCUACUUACUAUCCAUUAUAAAGACACUGCUUUGAAGAAUGGGAAUCCAUGGAAUUAGCCACAUUUAGGUUUUACUUUUUCCUUUUUUCCCUUUGGAGUGCUCUUUUGCUAUUGUGGCCUUAGGCUGUGUAUGAGGUUGACAUUUACUGAGUACCAAGUUGACGCUGGGAGCUCUCCACCUCAUCUAUCUCCCCUGGACGAUUUUGGAGCCACUCCAUCUGCCAGGAUGUUUUUCUCAUUCCCAUGAGCAGCUGCCUCUGCCAAGAACUAGCGUGAACCAAAAUGGCUCCCUGGACAGGACCUGCAAACGAACAUCUGUGAACAGAC